AUAGUGAAUGGAAAAAAGAAAUAAUUAAUAAAAAGUUCCAGUCAAAUCGAGCAGCCUGGCCACCAUUAAUCCUAUCGUCUUUUCAUGUCAACAGCCACGUCUGUUCAGAGAUAGAUCUUCCCUAAAACUUUUUCCAUGUACUUGUUAUCUUUGACUGCUUCAUUUCUCCACCGCAAAACGAUUUCAGUCUGGAUUUCUUCUCCAUCUUUCUUCCAGAACCAGAUCUCUAUGGUUCAGCGCUUCCCCCACCAAGUAUGAUUCUUCCCUUUUUUCUAGUGCUUCUUUUGCUAGUUUAUAGGCGUGAGCAUUCUCCGAUCUGUGGAUAAACUAGAAAGUGAUCUCUUGAAGACUAGUUCAUUUACUCUGAAUAUCUCUAAUAAUCGCUCAAAGUACUGAUUUGUCUACUUUUUUCGAUUGACAUUUCUUGAUGCCUGUUUUAGAGUCUCCCAUUAUUGUUGCUGAAUUUAAACCCAUUAAUAAUACUAACUUGAUGGCAUCUAACCCUGCAUGACCUUCUACUGUAAACGGGGAUGAGAAAUUAUAAUAGAGAUUCGUCUUUGAGGCUUUUAACACACCCAUCUGGUCUCGAACCACUACACCCGAAGCCAAUAUAGAAUUUCUUGUGUCGAAGGCUGCAUCAAACUAUACUGUUGUACCUAUUGUUGCCCCUAUUUGGUUAUGAACUCUUUCAGUAUUAAAGGUAAGCUUUUUCUCUUGUACCCCUUUGAGUUCUACUAUAUAUCUUCUGAUUUUUUGUGACAAAUUCCUAUCUAAAAUGGUUUUUCUUUCAUGAACAUACUGAUUCCGUGAGCUCCAAAUGAACCAUAAGGCAUAACAAAACAUCCAGAACUGUUCCUUAGUACUCUUUGCAAAAACCCAGGUUAGCUACUCCCAGAUAUUUUAAUUCAUAUGAGUUAUAACCUAAGAGAGAUUAAGGUUUUGCCAUACUUCAAUGAUUGUAAGGCAUUGUCUAAAUACAUGGUGGCUAUCCUCUUCUUUAGAGCAACAACGAGGACAUCUGGAGUUAGUGGUCACUCGCUUGUGUCUAAGCUUGCUAGUGUAGGUAUAUAGUUUCAAGAGAUCUGCCAUAUUGUUAAUGUAAUUUUUUAUGGUAGGUGUAAAUCCCAUAGUUUUCUAUAGAAGUCUUUGAUUUUGAUAUGUAUUAACUAACUAUUAGGAUCCAAAGCUAGCAUAUUGUAAUAGUUUAUAGGCACACCGUACUGAGUAUUCUCCAAAAGGUUUUUCUUUCCACACUUGAAAAUCUUCAUGGUUAGCUUCUGCAAGAGGGAUCUGCAAGAUCCUUUGGGCAAUUUCCGUUUGGAAGAAUCCAGUAAUCAUUCCAUAUAGAGAUCUCAUUUCCUCUUGCAACUCUCCAACAAAGUCCAUCUCAAAGAAGACCCUUUGCUGCCCAAAUACUCUUCCAGGUAAAUGAAGAUUUGCACAAAGGGCGAAAAUUGGCUCGGUAGACACUGCUAGAAGCACAAAACCGAGAAGCCAUUUUUGAAGCAUCAAGGUGAAAUAAAUUUUUAGCCUAAGGCGGUCCAAAUUAUGUAUAUUAAUUCAUGAUAUAAUUAAUUUUAAUUUAUAUCCAAUUUAAUUUGGAUUACAUAAAUUAUUAUUAAUUAAUUAUGAAAAAGUGGUCUAGUUGAGCCGAACCGAGUGAAUCGAACUGGCCAAGAAGUGGACAGCCCAAAAUCAUCCAUAUGUUGACCCAAAUCAGCUUAUUAGAUGAUUAUUUAGCUCACAAAGAGGCCCUUGAAGACAUGUUCAAGUUGCAAACAAACCCCUCCACAAUUGGUGGCUUUAUAGAUUUGCCCCAAGCCUAAAUUAGCGAAGUUGAAACUAUCAACCUUGCCACAUGUGUGGCCGACCAAGGGAGGGCUCUUUGGCUGAUAAUUUUAGCUAUUUUUAGCAGCCCUCAUCAGCUAUAAAAACUCCUUAGGCUGGUCAUUUGAAACACAUCUCAAGCAUUCACAUCUUUUCUCUUUUCUCUCCACUUUCUCUCUUCUUUUCCAUUCCAAAUUCCCUUGCUCUCUUGCCGAUUUUUCCUCUUGGAAAAGGGGAAUUAAUCAGCCAUUUGGAGCAGCAAUUAAGUGUUCAUAGCAGCCUUGGUCGAUGAGGACAACAGAGAAGGAAGAACGGAGCAAACUAGCCAAGCCACAGAAAAACAUUGGAUUUGAUUCUUGUUCCUUAUCUCUUUAAUUUUUGUUGUUGUUAUGAUGAACAUAUCUAUAGAUAUUUAUGUUGUUGUAAUGGUUAAUUUAAUCAAUUUAGCUUGAAUUUAAUUUGUGUUAA